rnacentral:lncRNA from 1 species
UCCAACUUGCAAUAUGUGUAGACUCGUUUCUGCAUUUGCUGCGCCCUUUUGCCUGCCAGCCGCAGUGGUUGGGAGCUCGUGGGAUGAAGGCGUGCAGCCGGUACGUAUGGCUAGCCGAAGUGCCGGUAUCCAUCACAUGUGCAAGCUAGGGAGAUGAGGAGUGCAUGAGUUGGAUUCGUUGCAAGAGUUGUAUUUCCAUUAAAUAAGACAUUGUAUCGACAAAACUGAUGAUAUAUCGAGAAUUUUAGGAAGAGAAGGAAUGGGCUUUCUCUAAAUAAAACCAGACAUACAUACUUACCAAU